rnacentral:rRNA from 1 species
CAGUAGCCGCGGUAAUACGUAGGUGGCAAGCGUUGUCCGGAAUUAUUGGGCGUAAAGGGCUCGCAGGCGGUUUCUUAAGUCUGAUGUGAAAGCCCCCGGCUCAACCGGGGAGGGUCAUUGGAAACUGGGAAACUUGAGUGCAGAAGAGGAGAGUGGAAUUCCAUGUGUAGCGGUGAAAUGCGUAGAGAUGUGGAGGAACACCAGUGGCGAAGGCGACUCUCUGGUCUGUAACUGACGCUGAGGAGCGAAAGCGUGGGGAGCGAACAGGAUUAGAGACCCCCGUAGUCCCUGUCUCUUAUAC